CCUACGGGGUGCAGCAGUCGAGAAUCAUUCACAAUGGGGGAAACCCUGAUGGUGCGACGCCGCGUGGGGGAAUGAAGGUCUUCGGAUUGUAAACCCCUGUCAUGUGGGAGCAAAUUAAAAAGAUAGUACCACAAGAGGAAGAGACGGCUAACUCUGUGCCAGCAGCCGCGGUAAUACAGAGGUCUCAAGCGUUGUUCGGAAUCACUGGGCGUAAAGCGUGCGUAGGCUGUUUCGUAAGUCGUGUGUGAAAGGCGCGGGCUCAACCCGCGGACGGCACAUGAUACUGCGAGACUAGAGUAAGGGAGGGGGAACCGGAAUGCUCGGUGUAGCAGUGAAAUGCGUAGAUAUCGAGAGGAACACUCGUGGCGAAGGCGGGUUCCUGGACAUUAACUGACGCUGAGGCACGAAGGCCAGGGGAGCGAAAGGGAUUAGAUACCCCAGUAGUC
rnacentral:rRNA from 1 species